rnacentral:tRNA from 1 species
UUAGUUAUAGCUAUCAAAGCAAUGUUAUUGUUAAUAAUUAGAUGAGUAGUCUUUAUACUCUAACUAAG